UUAAGCGACUAAGCGUACACGGUGGAUGCCCUGGCAGUCAGAGGCGAUGAAGGACGUGCUAAUCUGCGAUAAGCGUCGGUAAGGUGAUAUGAACCGUUAUAACCGGCGAUUUCCGAAUGGGGAAACCCAGUGUGAUUCGUCACACUAUCAUUAACUGAAUCCAUAGGUUAAUGAGGCGAACCGGGGGAACUGAAACAUCUAAGUACCCCGAGGAAAAGAAAUCAACCGAGAUUCCCCCAGUAGCGGCGAGCGAACGGGGAGCAGCCCAGAGCCUGAAUCAGUGUGUGUGUUAGUGGAAGCGUCUGGAAAGGCGCGCGAUACAGGGUGACAGCCCCGUACACAAAAAUGCACAUACUGUGAGCUCGAUGAGUAGGGCGGGACACGUGGUAUCCUGUCUGAAUAUGGGGGGACCAUCCUCCAAGGCUAAAUACUCCUGACUGACCGAUAGUGAACCAGUACCGUGAGGGAAAGGCGAAAAGAACCCCGGCGAGGGGAGUGAAAAAGAACCUGAAACCGUGUACGUACAAGCAGUGGGAGCCUCUUUAUGGGGUGACUGCGUACCUUUUGUAUAAUGGGUCAGCGACUUAUAUUCUGUAGCAAGGUUAACCGAAUAGGGGAGCCGAAGGGAAACCGAGUCUUAACUGGGCGUUAAGUUGCAGGGUAUAGACCCGAAACCCGGUGAUCUAGCCAUGGGCAGGUUGAAGGUUGGGUAACACUAACUGGAGGACCGAACCGACUAAUGUUGAAAAAUUAGCGGAUGACUUGUGGCUGGGGGUGAAAGGCCAAUCAAACCGGGAGAUAGCUGGUUCUCCCCGAAAGCUAUUUAGGUAGCGCCUCGUGAAUUCAUCUCCGGGGGUAGAGCACUGUUUCGGCAAGGGGGUCAUCCCGACUUACCAACCCGAUGCAAACUGCGAAUACCGGAGAAUGUUAUCACGGGAGACACACGGCGGGUGCUAACGUCCGUCGUGAAGAGGGAAACAACCCAGACCGCCAGCUAAGGUCCCAAAGUCAUGGUUAAGUGGGAAACGAUGUGGGAAGGCCCAGACAGCCAGGAUGUUGGCUUAGAAGCAGCCAUCAUUUAAAGAAAGCGUAAUAGCUCACUGGUCGAGUCGGCCUGCGCGGAAGAUGUAACGGGGCUAAACCAUGCACCGAAGCUGCGGCAGCGACGCUUAUGCGUUGUUGGGUAGGGGAGCGUUCUGUAAGCCUGUGAAGGUGUACUGUGAGGUAUGCUGGAGGUAUCAGAAGUGCGAAUGCUGACAUAAGUAACGAUAAAGCGGGUGAAAAGCCCGCUCGCCGGAAGACCAAGGGUUCCUGUCCAACGUUAAUCGGGGCAGGGUGAGUCGACCCUAAGGCGAGGCCGAAAGGCGUAGUCGAUGGGAAACAGGUUAAUAUUCCUGUACUUGGUGUUACUGCGAAGGGGGGACGGAGAAGGCUAUGUUGGCCGGGCGACGGUUGUCCCGGUUUAAGCGUGUAGGCUGGUUUUCCAGGCAAAUCCGGAAAAUCAAGGCUGAGGCGUGAUGACGAGGCACUACGGUGCUGAAGCAACAAAUGCCCUGCUUCCAGGAAAAGCCUCUAAGCAUCAGGUAACAUCAAAUCGUACCCCAAACCGACACAGGUGGUCAGGUAGAGAAUACCAAGGCGCUUGAGAGAACUCGGGUGAAGGAACUAGGCAAAAUGGUGCCGUAACUUCGGGAGAAGGCACGCUGAUAUGUAGGUGAAGUCCCUCGCGGAUGGAGCUGAAAUCAGUCGAAGAUACCAGCUGGCUGCAACUGUUUAUUAAAAACACAGCACUGUGCAAACACGAAAGUGGACGUAUACGGUGUGACGCCUGCCCGGUGCCGGAAGGUUAAUUGAUGGGGUUAGCGGUAACGCGAAGCUCUUGAUCGAAGCCCCGGUAAACGGCGGCCGUAACUAUAACGGUCCUAAGGUAGCGAAAUUCCUUGUCGGGUAAGUUCCGACCUGCACGAAUGGCGUAAUGAUGGCCAGGCUGUCUCCACCCGAGACUCAGUGAAAUUGAACUCGCUGUGAAGAUGCAGUGUACCCGCGGCAAGACGGAAAGACCCCGUGAACCUUUACUAUAGCUUGACACUGAACAUUGAGCCUUGAUGUGUAGGAUAGGUGGGAGGCUUUGAAGUGUAGACGCCAGUCUGCAUGGAGCCGACCUUGAAAUACCACCCUUUAAUGUUUGAUGUUCUAACGUUGACCCGUAAUCCGGGUUGCGGACAGUGUCUGGUGGGUAGUUUGACUGGGGCGGUCUCCUCCUAAAGAGUAACGGAGGAGCACGAAGGUUGGCUAAUCCUGGUCGGACAUCAGGAGGUUAGUGCAAUGGCAUAAGCCAGCUUGACUGCGAGCGUGACGGCGCGAGCAGGUGCGAAAGCAGGUCAUAGUGAUCCGGUGGUUCUGAAUGGAAGGGCCAUCGCUCAACGGAUAAAAGGUACUCCGGGGAUAACAGGCUGAUACCGCCCAAGAGUUCAUAUCGACGGCGGUGUUUGGCACCUCGAUGUCGGCUCAUCACAUCCUGGGGCUGAAGUAGGUCCCAAGGGUAUGGCUGUUCGCCAUUUAAAGUGGUACGCGAGCUGGGUUUAGAACGUCGUGAGACAGUUCGGUCCCUAUCUGCCGUGGGCGCUGGAGAACUGAGGGGGGCUGCUCCUAGUACGAGAGGACCGGAGUGGACGCAUCACUGGUGUUCGGGUUGUCAUGCCAAUGGCACUGCCCGGUAGCUAAAUGCGGAAGAGAUAAGUGCUGAAAGCAUCUAAGCACGAAACUUGCCCCGAGAUGAGUUCUCCCUGACUCCUUGAGAGUCCUGAAGGAACGUUGAAGACGACGACGUUGAUAGGCCGGGUGUGUAAGCGCAGCGAUGCGUUGAGCUAACCGGUACUAAUGAACCGUGAGGCUUAACCUU
rnacentral:rRNA from 1 species